GUCACAGUGGCCGAGUGGUUAAGGCGAUGCCCUGCUAUGAGGCAUUGGACUUUGUCUUCGCAGGUUCGAAUCCUGUCUGUGACG
rnacentral:tRNA from 1 species